rnacentral:rRNA from 1 species
UAGUCCACGCCGUAAACGAUCAUCACUCGCUGUUGGCGAUAUACUGUCAGCGGCCAAGCGAAAGUAUUAAGUGAUGCACCUGGGGAGUACGCCGGCAACGGUGAAACUCAAAGGAAUUGACGGGGGCCCGCACAAGCGGUGGAGCAUGUGGUUUAAUUCGAUGAUACGCGAGGAACCUUACCAGGGCUUAAAUGUAGUAUGACCGGUCUGGAAACAGGCCUUCCCUUCGGGGCAGAUUACAAGGUGCUGCAUGGUUGUCGUCAGCUCGUGCCGUGAGGUGUUAGGUUAAGUCCUGCAACGAGCGCAACCCCCUAUUCUUAGUUGCCAGCGGUUCGGCCGGGGACUCUAAGAAGACUGCCAGCGCAAGCUGAGAGGGAGGUGGGGAUGACGUCAAAUCAUCACGGCCCUUACGGUCCUGGGGCCACGACACGUGCUACAAUGGCCGGUACAGAGAGCAGGCCACUACGCGA